rnacentral:rRNA from 1 species
UACGGGGGGUGCGAGCGUUGUCCGGAAUCACUGGGCGUAAAGGGCGCGUAGGUGGUCCGAUAAGGGUGUGGUGAAAGUCCGGGGCUCAACCCCGGAUCUGCCGUGCCGACUGUCAGACUCGAGGACUGUAGAGGCAGGCGGAAUUCCGGGUGUAGCGGUGGAAUGCGUAGAGAUCCGGAGGAAGACCGGUGGCGAAGGCGGCCUGCUGGGCAGUUACUGACACUGAGGCGCGACAGCGUGGGGAGCGAACAGG